AUAAUGGAAGCAAUUUGUAACUUUCAGUAGCUCUCUAGGCCUGGGUACCGGAAGGAGGGAGGCGGGCAGAGGAGGGGAGAUGGGCGCCCCAAGUCCUUCCAUCCUCCUCAUUCGUCUAGGGGCAUCCGGAUCCCCUGUUUCUUAUUUCCCCUAUCACCCAGGCACUGGCAGGGUCCUUUGCCCACUCCUGUUGGCCACGGCGGCUCCAAAGCGAGAUGUGCCUGAGACAGGUUGGACUUGGCAACUGAAAAGACAUCCCUGAGAGACGACAAAGCUCAGGUGUGAAUGGAAUGUGCAUCCCAGCUGACCAGGUGGAACAGAGCUGCCUGCUGUCUGGAACUGCGUCCUCCCAGACUAAGUGAGAAAUAAACUUCUCUUUUCUA